rnacentral:rRNA from 1 species
UACGUAGGUGGCAAGCGUUGUCCGGAAUUAUUGGGCGUAAAGCGCGCGCAGGCGGUCUUUUAAGUCUGAUGUAAAAGCCCACGGCUCAACCGUGGAGGGUCAUUGGAAACUGGGGGACUUGAGUGCAGAAGAGGAAAGCGGAAUUCCACGUGUAGCGGUGAAAUGCGUAGAGAUGUGGAGGAACACCAGUGGCGAAGGCGGCUGCCUGGCCCAAUACUGACACUCAGGUGCGACAGCGUGGGGAGCAAACAGG